rnacentral:lncRNA from 1 species
AAUGACCAAAUCUUCCUCAAGAAGAGCAUAUUGAAACCUUCAAUUUAUAUCAAGUAUUUCUUCCUUGAUAUAACCAUAUAUCAGCCAUUAAUAACUCGAAUUAAUUAAGAUUUAAAGAAAAAUUGCUCUUUAUUCCGAAAGAAUUCCUUUAAAAAAGAGAUUUUGGUUCAAGUGGUAAUCAUGGGCUAAGCUUGCUCAAUUACUUUAGGUCAGUUUAAAAAAUAAAACAAUUAAUCUCUUCUCUUUAAUAAAUUUGAAAAAUUGUUCAUCAACUCCUAUCAGGAAGUACACCCAAGGUACAUUUUUAUAAUUCUAGACUCAUUUUAAGUCUAGAAUUACAGGUUGGUGUUGGGUGUGAAGUGUUUUAUGUAAUAUAUGAUUAUAUACAGGCAGAUAUCGGUGCGAUCUCGACAUCUAUCUGUUUUGCUGUUCUCAUUAAUUAUGAUCUAUAAAAAUUUAGAUCCAUCAUGUGUGUACUGCUUUAGAAACAAGUGCUGUUUAACUAGUUUGGAUGUCGGUAACAAAACAGCGCGACUAGAAGUCCAGAAGGUCAAAAACACUUUAGAUAUAGGCAAGGCACUGCUCUGAUAAAUUUGGAGAUCCAACAGAUCACAGACGUGCAUCUUGCUAUUUAAUUUUUUGACUAUAGGGUGCGGAUUAAUUUUCGGUCUUCUUUUAUAUACCUUGUCAGAUAGUAAAUUAAGCCAUGUGCUUGUCUUCCUACCUUCUUUUCUUUCUUAUUUCGGUCGUGAAUGGUCAACUCGGUUCCGGGUGCACAGAACAGAUCACGAACUUCUACCCGUUCUUACCUUAACCAUCUGUUUAUUUCUCAGAGGAAGCUUUAAAUUGAAUUUAUCAUUUUCUGGUUAUUUUAAAUUGUAACAACCUCUGAUUCAUCUAAAGAAUUUUUUUAUGUACAGUAAUUUCUUUUUGGUGUUCUUGAGCCGACUUGAAAGAGCUUGCAAACCCACAGCAAACUGUUAGCAUGAC